CUGAAAAUAUGUUGCUAGUGACCCAUAGACCUAUCAAAAAAGGGUGGAGUAAAAACACCACUUUUGUACGAAGUAGCACCUUGUGUUCUUUUAUUUACACUGGUGUUCUGACAAGA
rnacentral:snoRNA from 1 species